rnacentral:rRNA from 1 species
UACGAAGGGGGCUAGCGUUGUCCGGAAUUAUUGGGCGUAAAGGGCGCGUAGGCGGUGCGGUAAGUCACCUGUGAAAUCUCCUGGCUCAACUGGGAGCUUGCAGGCGAAACUGCCGUGCUGGAGUGUGGGAGAGGUGAGUGGAAUUCCCGGUGUAGCAGUGAAAUGCGUAGAGAUCGGGAGGAACAUCAGUUGCGAAGGCGGCUCUCUGGACCAGCACUGACACUGAGGCACGAAAGCGUGGGGAGCAAACAGG